AUUGAACGCUGGCGGCAGGCCUAACACAUGCAAGUCGGACGGUAGCACAGAGAGCUUGCUCUCGGGUGACGAGUGGCGGACGGGUGAGUAAUGUCUGGGAAACUGCCUGAUGGAGGGGGAUAACUACUGGAAACGGUAGCUAAUACCGCAUAACGUCGCAAGACCAAAGAGGGGGACCUUCGGGCCUCUUGCCAUCAGAUGUGCCCAGAUGGGAUUAGCUAGUAGGUGGGGUAACGGCUCACCUAGGCGACGAUCCCUAGCUGGUCUGAGAGGAUGACCAGCCACACUGGAACUGAGACACGGUCCAGACUCCUACGGGAGGCAGCAGUGGGGAAUAUUGCACAAUGGGCGCAAGCCUGAUGCAGCCAUGCCGCGUGUAUGAAGAAGGCCUUCGGGUUGUAAAGUACUUUCAGCGGGGAGGAAGGUGUUGUGGUUAAUAACCGCAGCAAUUGACGUUACCCGCAGAAGAAGCACCGGCUAACUCCGUGCCAGCAGCCGCCGUAAGAC
rnacentral:rRNA from 1 species